UACGGAGGGGGCAAGCGUUGUCCGGACUUACUGGGCGUAAAGAGCGCGCAGGCGGUCGUUCAAGUCGCGUGUGAAAGCCCCCGGCUCAACUGGGGAGGGUCACGCGAUACUGAUCGACUCGAAGGCAGGAGAGGGUAGUGGAAUUCCCGGUGUAGUGGUGAAAUGCGUAGAUAUCGGGAGGAACACCAGUGGCGAAGGCGACUACCUGGCCUGUUCUUGACGCUGAGGCGCGAAAGCUAGGGGAGCAAACGGG
rnacentral:rRNA from 1 species